ensembl:lncRNA
UGUGGGCAUACUAUUUUAAUUGUGUAAGUGCCAAUUUUAGUUCAAACACAAAUGGACUAUGAACUUCAUUAAUCAUCAAAAUUAACCCCAUUCUCCUUGUGUUAAAACAAAAGACUUAAAACCUGUCGAUUACAAACUACUACAUGAAAACAAUUUCGUGCUAUAACAGAAAUGUGGAAAUUAUACAAAAUGAUCUAGUCAAGACUUCAAAAUUUUGAGGAAUGCCACUGACAGUCACUAAACAUAUUUGAGGGGAAGAGUCACCCAAGAAUGGGAAAGAGGAGCUGCAAGAGAGAAUCCUAUUAUGCAAGUAUGGGGUUGUGACUAGAAGGAGAAAGAACUGGGGUAGAAGAUCUCAACAACAAGAAAAAGCUUUGGGCUGUUGUGGGUAUUCUAGCCUAGGCCCCCAGGAUGCUGCUGUUCUUUCACAGAAGUGCCUCGGCCCUCCCUCAGCUGCCCUUUCUGCCCAUGGGAGCAGAUGGCUUUACUUUUCAUCACCAGCAAAGAACCUUGCACUUCAUGGAGUUCUACAUUGAUGGAGUAUUUCUAAAACAGCAUCUUACCAUGUUGAGAAAGGACACAGCCACAAGAGGAACUGGUAUUCAACACCACUACAAUGUGAAAGUUCGAAUGAAAUUCAUUGAAAUAAAAGUUACAAGAAUGGAAGCCAAAGACUAGAAGAAAAUUUAUCUAGUAGAGAACAAUCCC